CUCCUCAUAGGGGGCUCGAACCCCUGACAUUUCGGU
rnacentral:tRNA from 1 species